GUUCUUACCUGGCAGGAGAGUUCCUGUGAUCACGAAGAGGGUUUUCCCAGGGCGAGGCUUACCCAUUGCACUCUGGAUAUGCUGACCCCUGCGAUUUCCCCAAAUGUGGGAAACUCGAGUGCAUAACGUGUGGUAGUGGGGCAUUGUGUUCACACUUUCCCCUG
ensembl:snRNA U1 U1 spliceosomal RNA